rnacentral:rRNA from 1 species
GACGAACGCUGGCGGCAGGCCUAACUCAUGCAAGUCGAACGGAGUGGCGGACGGGUGAGUAAUGUCUGGGAAACUGCCUGAUGGAGGGGGAUAACUACUGGAAACGGUAGCUAAUACCGCAUACUAUCAGAUGAGCCUAGGUCGGAUUAGCUAGUUGGUGGGGUAAAGGCCUACCAAGGCGACGAGCCGUAACUGGUCUGAGAGGAUGAUCAGUCACACGGGAACUAAGACACGAUCCAGACUCCUACGUGAGGCAGCAGUGGGGAAUAUUGGGCAAUGGGCGAUAGCCUGAUCCAGCCAUUCCGCGUGUGUGACGAAGGUCUUCGGAUUGUAAAGCACGUUAAGUUGGGAAGCGUUACCAACAGAAUCAGCAACGGCUAACUUCGUGCCAGCAGCCGCGGUAAUAC